GAUGAACGCUGGCGGCGUGCUUAACACAUGCAAGUCGAACGAUGAAGCCCAGCUUGCUGGGUGGCUUAGUGGCGAACGGGUGAGUAACACGUGAGUAACCUGCCCUUCACUCUGGGAUAAGCCUGGAAAACUGGGUCUAAUACCGGAUAGAAGCGUCCUCCGCAUGGUGGGUGUUGGAUCGUUUUAUCUGUUUUGGAUGGACUCGCGGCCUGUCAGCUUGUUGGUGGGGUGGUGGCUCACCAAGGCGACGACGGGCAGCCGGCCUGAGAGGGUGACCGGGCCAGCUGGGACGGAAACACGGCCCGGACCCCACCGGGAGGGAAGGGUGGGGAAUAUUGCACAAUGGGCGGAAGGCAGGUGCAGCGACGCCGCGUGGGGGGUGAGGGCCUGCGGGUUGGAAACCUAUUUCAGUAGGGAAGAAGCGAAAGUGACGGUACCUGCAGAAGAAGCACCGGCUAACUACGUG
rnacentral:rRNA from 1 species